UGAAAGCGCGGCGCAAUCAGGCACCGCUCUCGAUCAAGACGACGUUCGGUGUCCAGCGUGAGGAUCCAGGAGCAACAUACCUGGGCAGAUCAUGUCCAAGGAAAGACGAAGAAGGAGCUACAGAGGCCCAUGGAGGAGACACUAUGAGACGUCCCUACCCUCUCUGGCUCCAACACUAUGUCGUUCAGGAACGAGGAAGGCAGAGGACUAGCCAUGAGGAUCAGAAAAAUUCUGCCUUUAUGGACCAUCCAAUCCAGUCUGGAAGGGGCGUCGCCUAAUGACCUUCUCCCAAGCGAAGCAGAAUGAAAGGAGGCCAUCAGAAGCACGGUACUCCGAAAACGACCGCAGGCUAUCGAGAGGGCCCACGAAAGGGCGGAGCGUCACGGCGUUUUCUCCUCUACGUGGGCGCGGUCAGCGACUACAGUGGCCUCCCUUUACGGUAUCCUCACUGUAGCUCCUCAGGAUCAAA